CUAAUAAUGAUACAGACUAAUGAGCAACAUCAGAAAUGAUGGCACGUGUAAUCAGUGCUGCUUGAUGGCAAACAUAGAGCAGGGCUGCAGGAGCUACUGGCGUACAGGGCGAGGGGAAGUGGAGCAUCUUGUUCUGGAGAGGCGGAACCCACCCCAAGCGAGGUACUGACACAGAGCUGGCUCUGGCUCCGGGCCAGCCAGACUUUGCCCUCCUCAUCGCCUAUUCCCGACUGUGUCCUGGGAAGAGCAGAGCUUUCCUCGCCAGGCUGGACCAAGACCUGGACGUGCUCUCCAGCUUACCCAGGCAGGGGAGGAACUGCACCAAAUCAUGCUCGUCCCUGGGCAUUUAGUUUAUUGCGAGCAUUAGCGGUUUGUGCUCGGCUUGUCUCCUCUGGCAACAGGAGAAGCUGGAAAUGUCAAAGGGGAGGGUUAACAAACUCCGCUGGCAUAAAUUUCAAUGAAUGUAUGUUUCUUAGGAAAACCACUAAGUUAAAAAAAAAAAAUUAAAUCUUCCUGUGUGUGCUUU